UUUUUUGUUUACAAACUUGAUGAAAUUAUUUUUGAUUAAAAUUUUCUGUUUAAAUAAUUAAAAUGUUUGAAUAUAGCUGCAAUAAUGCCUCCAAUUUGAAUAAGACUUGCCGCGGGUGUCUUAAAGUUGGUGACGAGGUGCGGAUCAUGACUACUGAGGAACAAAAUGUGUAUUUAAAAUUUAUAGAGGUAUCUAAUGAAGAUUUAACUAUGUAUGUUUGUCUUCUAUGUGCUCAUUUGCUAAGGAAACUCGGCAAGUUCUUGAUUCAGUGCCAGGAAUCUUACAAUGUUUUGAAUAACUUUCUGCUAAAGGAAUCUAAACCGCACAACUACAUUCCACCGUUCCUGGCGUUCAAUCUAGUCACAACGCAACCUGAAAUAAACGAGUUUCAGAACAAUGUAGCAUUGUUGUAUGAUUUCACACCGGACAUGGUAACGUUUGACGAUGGGCCAAUUUUUGACGAUGAAGAUAUACCGCUAGUGCUGUUGAAAAAGGAAGA